AGAAUCAACGCUGGCGGCGUGCCUAACACAUGCAAGUCGCACGAGAAAGGGACUUCGGUCCCGAGUACAGUGGCGCACGGGUGAGUAACACGUGAAUAAUCUACCUCCGAGUGGGGGAAUAACUGAGAGAAAUCUUAGCUAAUACCGCAUAACACUUACGAGUCAAAGCAGCAAUGCGCUUGGAGAGGAGUUCGCGGCAGAUUAGUUAGUUGGCGGGGUAAUGGCCCACCAAGACGAUGAUCUGUAUCCGGCCUGAGAGGGCGCACGGACACACUGGAACUGAAACACGGUCCAGACUCCUACGGAGGCAGCAGUGGGGAAUUUUGCGCAAUGGGGGAAACCCUGACGCAGCAACGCCGCGUGGAGGAUGAAAUAUCUUGGUAUGUAAACUCCUUUCGAUGGGAAGAUAAUGACGGUACCAUAGAAGAAGCCCGGCUAACUUCGCGACAGCAGCCGC
rnacentral:rRNA from 1 species